rnacentral:rRNA from 1 species
AGUGAACGCUGGCGGUAGGCUUAACACAUGCAAGUCGAACGGCAGCACAGUAAGUGCUUGCUCUUACGGUUGGCGUGUGGCGGACGGGUGAAGAAUACAUCGGCAUCUACUUUUUCUUGGGGGAUAACGGAGGGAAACUUACGCUAUUACCGCAUACGACCUACGGGUGAAAGCAGCUGAUCUUCGGACCUUGCGCGACUGAAUGAGCCGAUGUCGGAUCAGCUAGUUGGCGGGGUAAAGGCCCACCAAGGCGACGAUCCGUAGCUGGUCUGAGAGGAUGAUCAGCCACACUGGAACUGAGACACGGUCCAGACACCUACGCGAGGCAGCAGUGGAGAAUACUGGACAAUGGGGGCAAGCCUGAUCCAGCCAUACCGCGUGAGUGAAGAAGGCCUUAGGGUUGUAAAAGGCUGUUGUUGGGAAAGAAGAGCAGCAGGAUAAGACGGCACUGUUCUGACGGUACCCAAAGAAUAAGCACCGGCUAACUACGUG